rnacentral:rRNA from 1 species
GUUUAGUUGCUGGGUAUAGACCCGAAACCAGGCGAUCUAUCCAUGAGCAGGUUGAAGGUUGGGUAACACUAACUGGAGGACCGAACCCACUGUCGUUGAAAAGCCAGGGGAUGACUUGUGGAUAGGGGUGAAAGGCUAAUCAAGCCUGGUGAUAGCUGGUUCUCCCCGAAAGCUAUUUAGGUAGCGCCUCGGACGAAUACCAUAGGGGGUAGAGCACUGUUUCGGCUAGGGGGUCAUCCCGACUUACCAAACCGAUGCAAACUCCGAAUACCUAUGAGUACUAUCCGGGAGACAGACUGCGGGUGCUAACGUCCGUAGUCAAGAGGAAAACAAUCCAGACCGCCAGCUAAGGCCCCAAAAUCAUAGUUAAGUGGGAAACGAUGUGGGAAGGCAUAGACAGCUAGGAGGUUGGCUUAGAAGCAGCCACCCUUUAAAGAAAGCGUAAUAGCUCACUAGUCGAGUCGGCCUGCGCGGAAGAUGUAACGGGGCUAAAACUAUGUGCCGAAGCUGCGGAUGUAU